AUGGUGGCGCAGGCUGGGCGGGUCCGGCAGCCGCCCGAUGACCAGCGGCUUCAGCUUGUGGCUGCCGGUCAGGUUGGCGGCCAGCAGCACCGUUACGCGGUCGCCCCGCCAUCGCCGGCCGCAGCCCCCUGCUCCAGGGUCCCCUGCGCCCGGGGGCGCAGCCUGCUCCGGAAGCAGCUUCCAGUAGAGGCCGGUGACGUUGGCGUUGUAGAUCUGCUCGUCGCCGUAGCCGCCCUCGGCGGGGGGCGGCGGGGCCGGGGCGCGGUCGGGCAGGGGGCCGGCGCCGGAGGGCAGCGUGGGCUCCUCCUUGACCGGCGGGCCGGGCGCGGGGCCCGGGGCGAGGGGCCCGGCCUCGCCGUAGAAGCGCUGGCUGGAGAUGCCGUGGCGCUUCUGCCAGCGCCAGAACCAGCCGUGGCUGGCCUUGAAGGUGCACUCGGGCCCGUAGAUCUGGCGCGCGAAGGCCUCGGCCUGCGCCUGGAUGAGCGGCCCAGACAGCGGCACCCCGUGCUGGCGCAGUGCCAGGAACCAGGCGUACACGGCGCGGUCGAUCUCCUCCUCGUUGGCCAGCCGCAUCUUCUUGCGCUGAGUGCCCACCUCGCCGCCCAGCUGCUCCAGGAACCAGCGCAGCUUGGGCUCGUCCUUGAGCCAGCCGCGCAGCGUCCCACCCGGCACGCCGAAGUCGCGGCACACACUGGCCUGCCGCUCGCCGCCCUUGACGCGCUCGAUGGCCUGCAGCUUGUCCUUGAUGGAGUAGGCCUUGCGGAAGGCCAUCUUCACGGCCACGCGGGGCCGCGGCCCGGGCGCGGGGGGCGGCGGCCGUGCAGCGGGGACGGGGGCCGGGGCGGGCACAGAGGGCCCGGGCGGGGGACGGCGGCCGCGGUGCGGGACCGGGCCGGCCGGGGGACCCGCGGGGUACAUGGCGGCGGCGGCGAGACCGGCGCCGCGGGUCGCGGGAGCCACACGCCCAGCCGCUCGGGGCGGGGCACUCGGGGGCGGGGCCGCGCGGGUCCCUCCCCUUUGUCCCGCAGCUUGGCGGGCGCACGCGCGCUGACCCAGGCCGGCCCGGCCCCGCCCCGCGCCUGCGCACUGGCCGCCUCGUGCGUCACUCGGCGCGUGCCGGCCUCCGGCCCCGCCCCACCGGCGACACCACUGGCCUCGAGACGCAGGGGGGCGCGCGCGCAGCCGCCCGUGCCCGGCAUUUGUGCAGACUCCUCCGCUGAAGAGCGGCCUCCGCAGUCGUCUCCAACGGAAUUCUGCCUUUGA
rnacentral:lncRNA from 1 species